GUUGGACUUUACAAAUUGUUAUGAAUGUAUUUUUAUGUUUUGAGGUUAUUGCAUCAGUUGCAUCCCUCUUCUGAAUUGGAUAUCUAGAAAUUAAAGCUGUACUCAUAUCUUUUCUUAAUAAUUUUUGAAAAAUCUUUGGUAUGGAAAACAUUUGUUAUGACAAACAAUUUGAUUCAGUGGUGGCUGUCUUCUGGGUGGAUUAACUAUUAACACUAUAUAGAUGGUUUUCAAAUUUGACAAGCAAUGCUGAUUUCAAUGGAAAGAUGAGCUUAGGAAGAAGGGGUCUUGGUUAACCCUGGGGCCAUUCCAUCUUUAGCAUCUCAACAAUGCACUGAUUUCAUACUUGAUAUGAUUGAUUACGUAAAUCACUUCCAUAUGCUUAUGCAUAUACCAGUGUGAACAACAUAAAUAGAUGACAUGAUGUUUUCGGUGGAUGAGUGUUCUACAUCAAUGAGUCCAUACAUUGUUUUCAAAAGUAUGAGUACAAUGUAGUAUGUGUUUAGUGCUGCUGUGUAG
rnacentral:misc_RNA from 1 species